UACGUAGGGAGCAAGCGUUGUCCGGAAUCAUUGGGCGUAAAGCGCGCGUAGGCGGCCCUGUAAGUCCGUUGUGAAAGUCAAAGGCUCAACCUUUGAAAGCCGAUGGAUACUGCAGGGCUAGAGUUCGGAAGAGGCGAGUGGAAUUCCUGGUGUAGCGGUGGAAUGCGCAGAUAUCAGGAGGAACACCAAUAGCGAAGGCAGCUCGCUGGGACGAUACUGACGCUGAGGUGCGAAAGCGUGGGGAGCAAACAGG
rnacentral:rRNA from 1 species